UAGAUUCCAAGCUGCGAACUUUUCAUAUCGAUCCAGCAGUACCUAGCCGAUCAGCUAUAUACCGCAGACGAGGUUCCCUUUCCUUGCAGGAUGUUAUACAAGAGAGUUUUAAGCUCUUCGUGACAGCCUGUCCUAGGUACGUGCUGCAUGAAAGUCGGAUGAAAGAG